rnacentral:lncRNA from 1 species
GCCUCUUCCACGGAACUUUGCACCCGUCGGAUCAGGAGAGCCCUUGAGAGCCCACCUCCAGGGCCUUGGGUCUGACGCACAGACCUGUGUGGAGUCUGGACAGAGCAGCUGCUCGGGAAUGCACAGAGACCCAGGAGCUUUCCAUACUCUAGCCCUGGGCUCCCUGACGAAGGCGAUGGAACUCAAACAAGGCGGAAGGUCCAUACAUACCCCUAGAAAGGGAGCUGAAUCCAGGGGGCUGAGUGGCAUCAGUACGCAGGCCCCACUUCCACAGCACCUCACAAAAUAAGACCCCCUGGCGUGGAAUUCCAGCCAGCCACUGGCACCAGGGUGGAGCUUGCCUGAGACAGGACGGAGCCCUGGAGGAGAGGGGCAGGCGGUCAUCUUUGCUGUUUGGAUAACUGAGCUGUUCCAGCCUGCUGGCUUUGGAGAGUCCAAACAGUCUGCACCAGGAAGGGUCACCCCAACGCAGCACAGCGGCUUUGCCAGCUUGUGGCCAGGCUGCUUCUUUAAGUGGGACGCUGACCUACUUACUCCUCCCUGUGGGGUAGGCCCUCCCAGCCAGGGCCUCUGGCCACCCCCACUGGUGUUCUGGGGACGGAGUUCUGAUUUCUCCCUGGGAGGCCGUGCCCAGCGGGAGGGGCGUGCCGCCAUCUUUGCUGUUUGGAAAACGGCCAUUCCAGCCUGCGAGCUUUGGAGAGACCAAGCCCCCUGAGGCAGAGGCCGCGCCUCAGCAUGUUACAGCUGUUUUGUUGAGGUAUGAUUUAAUACACUUUACCGACCUGAAUUCAUUGGAUAUAUGUAAAAAUGAAGGAAUGCACGUUAUUCUGCUUGAUGCUCUGCAGAGAGGAGCUGCCUGAGAGGUUGCACCUGCAGUCCUGGAUGCACUGGCCCCAGGGGUGGUUGGUGCUGACUCCACAUUUGUCUAAUAAGAUGUCCAGAUACAAAAAUGUCUGUGAUGUGGGAACCGUUACAGAUCUAGGAGAGUUUUUUCAACAGCAAAAAAAGCAAAGCCUGUUUCUGUCAAAGUCUUUUAUUUUAUUUUUGAAUUUGACCUUUUAAAAUAAGAUUAAAACAUUCCAUCAAGACUCCCUUUAGAAUUGACCCAUAGGAUUUUUUUUUCUUGACGAUUCCAACUUUACUGAUUUUCUAAGAUUAUUUUCUCUAAUCUCUAUGUGAGUCAGAUAAUGUGAGUGAAGAACGGAUGAGACAAUUAUAAGAUUAAAUCAGAAAAAACAAACCAUAAUUCAGAAGAUGCACAAUGGCUUUAAUAAAUAAGUUUACAAUUUCAUGCCUCCAAUCCUAAAUUCUCUGUUUAUGAGAUAUGAAGAGAUUUAAAUUUUCAAAUGAAAAUCUAAAAUUGGGCCAGGCGUGGUGGCUCACGCCUGUAAUCCCAGAACUUUGGGAGGCCAAGGCAGGCAGAUCACAACAUCAGGAGUUUGAGACCAGCCUGACCAACGUGGUGAAACCCCAUUUCUACUAAAAAUACAAAAUUAGCCAGGCAUGGUGGUGCGCACCUGUAAUCCCAGCUACUGGGGAGGCUAAGGCAGGAGAAUCGCUUGAACCUGGAGACAGAGGUUACAGUGAGCCGAAAUGGUGCCACUGCAAUCCAGUCUGGGCAACAGAGUGAGACUCCAUCUCAAAAAAAAAAAAAACAAGAAAAUAAAAUCCAAAAUUGAAUUUGCAAAUCUGUAUUUUAAUAAAAUACUCUCAUUUUUUUGAGAGGUAUGAUGGAAAAGUUAAUUUAUUAAUUUAUUUAUUAUUUGUUUUUAAAUUUGCUUUUAAGCCUCACAUCAACAUCACCUCUCCACUGACUAAGUUUUUUAAACAUAAACAUAAAAGAUAUAAAAUAUUCUUAAAAAUGUGAAUGCUUUUAUAACUGUAUGAAAGGUAACUAUAUCAAAAUUGGAAAUAUGGUGAAUGAUAAAUUAUUAUUUGUGUCAUUUUAUUUUUGUUUUGAUUAGAUCUCACAUAUUUCAUUAUCACUUGUAAUUUUAAUUUUAAUGGC